UGGGGAAUCUUGGACAAUGGGCGAAAGCCUGAUCCAGCCAUGCCGCGUGAGUGACGAAGGUCUUCGGAUUGUAAAGCUCUUUUGGCGGGGACGAUAAUGACGGUACCCGCAGAAUAAGCCCCGGCUAACUUCGUGCCAGCAGCCGCGGUAAUACGAAGGGGGCUAGCGUUGUUCGGAAUUACUGGGCGUAAAGCGCACGUAGGCGGAUUUGUAAGUCAGGGGUGAAAUCCCGGGGCUCAACCUCGGAACUGCCCUUGAUACUGCAAAUCUCGAGUCCGAUAGAGGUGAGUGGAAUUCCUAGUGUAGAGGUGAAAUUCGUAGAUAUUAGGAAGAACACCAGUGGCGAAGGCGGCCAACUGGCUCGAUACUGACGCUGAGGUGCGAAAGCGUGGGGAGCAAACAGGAUUAGAUACCCCGGUAGUCCCUGAGCGGGCUGGCAAGGCGCAU
rnacentral:rRNA from 1 species